ensembl:lncRNA
AAAUUAUUGGAUUUGCAUGCUGACAUUCCUAUUAAAUCUUAUUCCAUUUUACUAUGAAUAAGGAAUGUGAAGUUAUUUGUAAUGGGUGCUGAAGGUUGCAGGACUCAACCAAACAGUGGCAAGAUUGGUCCUUGAGCCUGGAGCCUUCACCACACUUUCCUGUUGCUUGUUAAAAAGGCUUCUGCUAACACAUGUUCUUGGAGUCUCCUCUCAGAUGCAGCACCUCUUACAUAUGUACAAUGAGUCUGUGGCAAUUUAGGGAGGAGCGCUCUCUGUGCUCCUGUGCUGUGAACCCAGGCAAGGUGCUUGUUGCUUGUAGAGUAUCGCAGGCCCUCCUCUUGUUAGUGGGGAUGGAGUGCAUAGGCACUUACAGUGUCACUCAAGCACUGGGUUUCCCAGAAGGUCAGAGAUGAAAAUCAGGGUGGUUGCUUUAUUCUCUCAAAUUAGGGUUAAUGUGUAUUUGGUAUGUUGGAUUUAUUAUUAUGAUGAUGAUGCAUAUCUUUCCAUUAUAAUACAAGACAGCUCUUCUCUUCCUUCCUGGCUUUGUUUUCCUGCUAUCUCAGGAGUCUUAUAGCUUCUCUAUGGCAUUCUGUCCCUUGAAGGAAACUCCUGAUGAGUCCAUGGAGUUGUAUCUUUUUUCUGUUGUCCAAGAGGGCUACCCUUUUACUUCCAAGGACAUUAAUGAAACCUAGCCAAGUGUUUUGUGUACUGUCAUCUCAUCCAAGCUGGAGUCUUUACGUUUCUAUUUACCUACAAUUUGCCAAAAGUAUUGGGCACAGGAUGUCACAAAGUAAUGGCAGAAUUUGGGUCACUUCCUUUCCCAACUUUUCUGAAGGUGAUUUUUUGUCUGUCAUACUCCAUUCUUCCUCUCUUCUCUGGCUAUGUUGCAAUUCACACUGUAUUACCAAUCUCAAUCUCGUUAGCUCUCCAGACACACAGUUUAUAAUAUUGCUGCCUCUAAUGAAAUGUUUGCAUAAUGUUCAGCAUGCUUCAAGCAUUAUUUUUUUUUUCUUUUCAUAAAAUGCAUACCCAUGUGUAGUCAUCCAGAUUUCAGUGACUGGACAAUGGAGAUCUGCUUGUGGGUAGGUCUGGGUAGUCCCUGGAUGUGGAUUGAAAGUGGCAGUGGGUAUCUUGCACUCAGCAUGCCUGCAGCAGCCUGACCUAGCUGAGCUCCCAAUGCCUUUGGGUAAGGUUGAAUGGCUGCAUGGGACUCUCAACAACAUUCAGUUGCAUAGAUCAGAUUGCCAAAACCAACCCAAACCUGGGCUGUAAUAGCAUGGUAAGGACAGCACAGCACUGGAAUGACUACAGGGGAGAUCACACAGACUUUGCAGGUGGAGGUUUUGUAAGAGAGCUUUUAGGAAACAUUUACCAAGCAUUGUGAAAGUGGAAGGGAUCCUGCUGUGAAGCAGGCACACACUGGGCAGCAUUUUGUGCUUCUUUCCAGACCAUGAUGUGAGGAAUGAAGAAUACAAAUGGCCCCCUCCUCUUCAUUUUAACCCUGCCAGAUUUGGCUUUGUUGAGGUGUAGACAGAGUCACUUGUCCUGCCCAAACCUCCAGCAAACUUCACUCCUUCUUCCACCACCCUGCUGAGUAAGAGCUGCCUAGCUAGCAGCACCUUUUCUGCCUCCACUUACCCUCAGCCUAACAUAAAUGGUGUUCCCUAGGUGUCCUGCUUGCUGGUGACUGUUUCUAGAGGAAAAGCAGCUCCUUCUAGCAAAUGUGUGCCAAGAUCCUUAGGGAGACCUAUGGAGCCAUAUGGUUGCUUAUGGAGAAUGUAGAGACAUUUCCUAAACUUCAGUGCUAGGUGUACAGCAUCUGGUGCUGCUAAUUCAGCCAAAAGAGGGUCCCUUUGCUCAAACAUCCAUUUCUGGGUGAUGGGCUGAGUCUCACUUCUAAUUUAGGUAUAAACCACACAGCCUUCCAAUAUCAGCCAAGGUCUGGUAUAUUCCUUAUUAAUUUUGUUUCCCCUGUGAUUUCUUGAACCGCUUUUGGGGGGUAGCCAGGUCUCCCAUUUGG